rnacentral:rRNA from 1 species
CCUACGGGAGGCAGCAGUUAGGAAUAUUGGACAAUGGGCGCAAGCCUGAUCCAGCCAUGCCGCGUGUGUGAUGAAGGCCCUAGGGUUGUAAAGCACUUUCGUUGGGGAUGAUAAUGACCGUACCCAAAGAAGAAGCCACGGCUAAAUUCGUGCCAGCAGCCGCGGUAAU